rnacentral:lncRNA from 1 species
ACUUGAGGAUUCACACACUCCAUAAUAUUUAAUCCAAAUACAAGUUACAAUGGCAUGCAUGCCAAACUUUAAGAUAUAAAGCCUAAACCACCGUACCAUUAAUAAACCAUGGACGAAAUAGAAAAUUGGCUACUAACACCAACUAACCAAGGUUCAUAACUAAAACAUUUGCAGUCCGGAGGUAAAACCGAAUUAUUAACCCCACUUCAACCAAAACUGCAGCAGCUGACCACAAACAACAGUAGGACGUAUACGAAAACCGGCAGCUUGGAUCUCACCUACAGUACCAUGUCGGCUCGAACACAAUCCAGAUGCACACUUCUUCACGCCGUGCUAGAAGACCAUGUCCUGUUGAAAUCACUAAAUCCCUUUAGUGGAUUUGCAGGCGACUCAUGUUUCUUCAAAGGAAGGGCAUAUGAAGGUCAUUUAGCAGACCUUGGAUUCAAUCCCUUCAUGUUGCCAAUACCGCAUCAAACCAACAUUAAACGUGGCCAAGCGAAAGCGGUUUGAAACCUGCACCAAACGGAAUGCAUCAUAAAAAAUGACCAACAUAAAUUGCUAAGCAAAAUGAAAGAAAAUGAUAAUUCAAAACUAAAAUUUUCAACUGUCAUAACCACCCUAACCAAGUUCUUGAACCCUUCAAAGAAACCCUCUCAUCAACACUUCAAAACUCCACUACAAAACUAAACCUCCAACUACUAAUAACUUGCGACCUGAUAGCAGAACCAGGGAAUGAGUUCAUGACCAACCUGACUUCACCCAAAACCUCCAACAGAAUUCUAACUAUCAUUACGAAACUAACAUCCCAACUGUCAUACCCGAUCUAACCUCAACCACCUCAAAAAUUCCAUGAACUGGACCAAGAAUUCCAAACCACUGAGGACAGCCCUGCAUAACAGCUUAAAUGAAGCGAAGUCCGACUCGGCGAAUCCAAGCCAUUCAAUCCUAGCAACCUGCAGAAGGGAAGAAUCAAAAUGUAAAUGGAAUUCUAGUAGGCAGCGCCACACAUCGAGUGGUUUUCAUCACUUAACAAGAAACCAACUCUAACUGUUAUUAAUUAACAAACCUAUAACUAACCCAAUCUUAACACAAUAAAAGGAUAACAAACUUUUCCAACUGUCAAAAAAACUUUCUAACAGAAAUAACCAACUCUAACAACCUCUAACCAACCCCUAACUUCCCUAACUAAAAAUUCAUAAACCUAUAAAAGCAUACCUUGCCCAAUCAUUUUGGAUUUCAUCAUAUUCAUUCUUCCUCACUUUCUUCAAUCUUCUUCAACACCUUUCUUCCAUUUUCUCCAUUCACAACCAAUUUCAAUAUCCAUCUUCAACCUCACACCUAAAUAAUCUUCAAUCUCCUCCUUCAUCUUCAAUCCUCACUUUCUUCAAUCUUCUUCAACACCUUUCUUCCAUUUUCUCCAUUCACAACCAAUUUCAAUAUCCAUCUUCAACCUCACACCUAAAUAAUCUUCAAUCUCCUCCUUCAUCUUCAAACUGAACCGUCAAGCUCCAACCUCCAGGUUCUUCAUCGAUUGCACGAAACAACCUUCAAUUCUUCACCCUCCACUUCACAACCAUAACUUCCAUGGAACCUCACCUCUAACCGCCUUCAACACACACACACACACACAGGGAGGCGAGAAAUGAAAAACAGAACAGAAACAGAAGAAAACAAAUCAGAAAGAUUGAAAGAAGUAAGAGAACUCACAUGACCGCGUUAUCCUCAUCAUCUACAGAAUCGGAAACCUUCCAUUAGCCUCUCACGUAACCAUCGUCCAAAUCGGUCAGAAUCACUAAACUUCAACAAUCUCCAUAGAUUACACUGCAACAACACGAUUCCACAGAGAAAUGAAAUUGAAUUAGAAUAGAAGAUUGAAAAAGAAGGACGAGAAAGAAACACAUAGGAAUUGAAGGAGAAGAGAAGUGGAAAAGGUAGAAGCUUUUACCGGCAAUGUCGACAUCAAUCCAAAGACGAGAUACGGUUUCUUCAAGGAGAAUGUGAAGCAAUCCUCGAACCAUUUGUGGAAGAUUCAUUUGGAAUUGUUGCGAUGGAACCUACCAUUCCUCGAUUCAGUUACAGAACAACAUAGAAGGUAACAGAAGUUCGGAAAGAAGAUGAGAGGCGCAUACCUGAAUUCGUUUCAAACCUUGGAAACCAGCACAAAUCGAAGGUUAUCCGUUAAUCUUAGUCUUCACCGUCGACUACAAAUACAAUAACAACGAUUCAUAAGGAAUCAACAACAUUGAAUGCGCAUCAGAAUUACAAAUAUAAGCGCGACUUUGAUUUGAUGAUGAGCUUGAGCGCGAAGCCGAAUUCGCGUUUGAUGUCGUCGCUUGAGGGUAGACCUCAUUCCCGACGAACUCGCACUGAUUCACUCAUUGGAGAACAAUUUGUGAGAAACUCAUGGCCUUGUUUGAGUUCUUGUGACGUUAAUCGUGUCUCUCUCCCGUUCACAUCUUGCUAAUGGAUUUUCGCGCGGGUUUGUGAAGCUCCUUGUCUAAACUGAUGAGCAGUGGCAUAGAAAAACACACAUGGACGAUGAAAACGGCAAAAUCGAAUCGCACCGCUUCUGCUUAUUAGAAAGAAUCGCAUUUUCCCUUGUUCGCUUUUCCGUUUCGGAUUGAUGAAGAGAAUCGAUUUCAUCUACCCCCUUGUCAAGUGGAUCCGGUUUGGGCUCAAGGCCCAAACAGGUCAUUCCUUCAUGUCCUGGACCGCACCGAAUUGCCAGUUCCCCAAAUCCAGGUUAGCAACCACUGGUCCAUUUUAGGUUAUUUAAGAAUAUCUUAGUUAAUUAACUUCAGGUAAAUGAAAUUAGAGUAUUAGGUUAACUAGGUUAAUGGAUUAAAUUUUUUUUGAUUAGUGUUAGAAAAUAAUUAAGACAUUAGUUGCUCUUAGAACAUUAGGUUUGAUUAGAAAUUAACUAGGAAUUUAGACUUUGGUUUAGAAUUUGAUUGAUUUUAGGGUAUUUGCUUAAUUAGGAUUUAAUUGGGUUGAUUAGGCUGAUUUUGAUAAUUAGAAGAUUAAAUCUUGAUUUUCAGAAUAUUAGGACAAUAUGAUUUUAAUUAGAAUUUUAAUUAUAAAUAGUGGUAUUUUUGAUUAAAUUUAGAACAAUGCAAUUUUCAACAUUAGGUUAAACCAUUCUCUGGUUCUAAUUAGGUUUUGAUUAGAAUUUAAUCUUGUUCACAUUUGGACCUAUUUUGUAAAUGACAAUUUUGCCUUUAGAGGUAAUUGUAGAUAUUUUAUCCAUUUAUGCCAUGAUCCCAUUAGGAUUAGAAUUUAUCUUUAGGAUUUAAUCAAUUUUAGGCCAUGGUUAGAAUUUGGACAUAUUUCAUUAUUGACCAAUUUGCCCUUAUGGACCUUAUUUUGGUAUUUUUGAGUUAAAAUUUCAUGCUCCCCUUAGGAUUAGAAUUCAAUCAUUUUAUGACUUAACAUAGAAUUUUAAUCAUGAUUUUAAUCAAUACUUUGACAUGCUCCCUUAGGAUUUUUAAUCUAACUUAGAAUAUUCAACCAAUCUCUAAUGCAUGCUCCCUUAGGUUAGUUUCUAACAAUAACCAAUUUCAAUAUCCAUCUUCAACCUCACACCUAAAUAAUCUUCAAUCUCCUCCUUCAUCUUCAAACUGAACUGUCAAGCUCCAACCUCCAGGUUCUUCAUCGAUUGCACGAAACAACCUUCAAUUCUUCACCCUCCACUUCACAACCAUAACUUCCAUGGAACCUCACCUCU